UGUUUAUUGCCAGUGUCUUAGGAGACACUUGAACUUUUUCUCCUGCUUAUUUGUUUUGUGAUAACAGGUGCAGUUUAGGGGUGUGAGUUUGACAUGAUAAAUGACCAAAAACCUGAGCCAGUAGUUGCCCCUUUCACCAGCUCUUGCUGUUGUUCCUGCUGCUGGCUGACCAAUGCCAAGACGAAGACUGGAGACCGUGCAGGUUCACAAUGAACCCCUGUGUGGCAUGAGUGUGAUGUGUGGGGGCCGCCGUCCAAAAAUAAGCUAUUGCACCGAAGAGGGAAAGGCUGGUUGCAGAGGCGUGCCAGCCAGCCACGGUGUUCUUUGGCUGUUAUUGGGUAGCGUCUGCAAAUUCUCUUCUCUACACAAAGCCAAACGGGGCUGAUUAAGCUCCUCUGGUGCAAUUUUUGAAAAGAAAGGACAAGUUAAAAAUAGCCUGAGAACAAGUGCUGGGAGCUGAGAGCUGCGAGAAAGAGGUUCCAGCAUUAAAGGCGUGUACCACCACACCCAGAAAAACCUGCACGCUUGCUGCUGCUCGUGUGUUUCUUAGUGUGGAAAUCUCCCUGCAAUAGUUAACCUGUCUAGACCCUUGUUUCCUCAUUCAGAAGAAGUGGAGUGGCCUCCUUGGCCACAGCUAUCGUCUGUGGUGGUUCCUUUUCACUGUCAGCUUGAUUGGAUUUAGAAUCGCCAUGGAAACAGACCGAUGCAUUGAUUUGUUUCCAGAGAGCUUUAACUGAGGACCCUUCCUGACCAUGGGAAGCCACAAAAGGAAGUGAGGACUUGAGGGAGCACCAGCCUUUGGGCCUCUCUGCUGCCCAACACUGGAUGCCCUGAGACCAGCUGUCCUGCCUCCCCCACUGUCACGGACUGUACUCUCCACCGUGAACCAAAAGGAUCCCUUUCUUCCUACCUUAGUUUCAUUGGGUAUUUUUCAAUUUCAAUGAAAAAAGUAACUAUCACAUUAUGAGAUUCAAAAUUAAAAAAAAAAGAAUAUGUCAAAAAUAUUCUCAAAGGCUGCAAGGUGCUACGGAAAGGUUCUAAACUAAUGACUCCGCUCCAGAGUGAUUGUUCUGAAUUAUGUGUAGAAAGCAUGGCCUUUAACAGACAUAUCUUAGUUCUGCAACUAUGCAGAAUGUAGAGGACUAGAUCAACGUCAGUGUGGACAUCAAAUAAGAACUGUAUAGAAGAUGCAGUGGGGAGAAAACUCAAGAGACGUGGGUGCUGACUGUUCACGCAUGAGGACACGAAUUCAAAUCCCCAGAACCCGUGUGAAGGGGUGGACACAGCAGCACAUGUGCCUGUAACCCAGUCUGCCAAGGGUCGGAGGGGGAGGGGGAGUGUCACUGGGGCUCCAGAGCUGCUAGUCUCGCACAGGUUCAGGGAUGGACUCUGUCUGGAGGAGGUAAGCGGGGUGCGGGGUAAUACUCCUCAGACAUGAGAAUGUGUACUUGCUCAUAUACCCACGUGUGCACACACCACAUCACACAUAUAUACCCCCACACACACACACACAAUCUUAAGAACAAAUCCUAACGUGUAGUCUAGAUAAGCAGUCUAAGCCACUGUCAAAGCGAGAAGCCAUUGGUGAUUUAAGGAGACUUGUUGACUGCCCAGCUGUGUCUUCUGUCUCUGGUAAAGGUUUGCAUAAACAACAGAGGAAAAUGCCUCCGGGGAGUUAGCUCCUUGUCGGAAACAUUUAAAGAGCAGACGGGAGAGGAGCCUUUUGCUUCUCUGGGGGACCUCAAGCCCUUGUUCUCGCCUACAUUUUGAAAAAUCGGUUUCCCACUUGUGCUGACUGGGAGGAGGGGCUUGGGUUUUGGAACGCGGCUAAGCGGAGGCUCUGGACACCCCGCCCCUCUUCCGAGCCCUGUCUCCCUGGCUACAGCUAGGCUCUUGCGAAGAAGCAGGUGCAGCGUCUGAAGUGAUGAGAGCUGGCUCAUUCCUCCCACAUGUCUCUUGUUUUAAAAAUUAAGAUUCCUGGCAGCAAUAUAUUUAGUGUGAUAUGCAUGCAUUCACUUAAAAUCUUAGUGACCAGGCAGUGGCGUUUCAUGCACAGCGGUAAAGCUCAUGGGACACGGAAGCAGAAAGGUGACCAAGCUUUGCUCGCACGCCUGAUGACAUCUGUGUUGUCGUACUGAGGUCCCUUGGAAGAAGCUGCUCUCAGUCUCAUUUCUCACUCUAUUGUCAGUAGCCCCAGAGAGUUCAAAUUCCUGUGUAGCAAUAUUUUAUUUGUAUUUUAAUAAAUAAAACUGCCUGAAGAUCAGAGAGUAAA